GAUGAACGCUGGCGGCGUGCCUAAUACAUGCAAGUCGAGCGAACAGACGAGGAGCUUGCUCCUCUGACGUCAGCGGCGGACGGGUGAGUAACACGUGGAUAACCUACCUAUAAGACUGGGAUAACUUCGGGAAACCGGAGCUAAUACCGGAUAAUAUAUUGAACCGCAUGGUUCGAUAGUGAAAGACGGUUUUGCUGUCACUUAUAGAUGGAUCCGCGCCGCAUUAGCUAGUUGGUAAGGUAACGGCUUACCAAGGCAACGAUGCGUAGCCGACCUGAGAGGGUGAUCGGCCACACUGGAACUGAGACACGGUCCAGACUCCUACGGGAGGCAGCAGUAGGGAAUCUUCCGCAAUGGGCGAAAGCUUGACGGAGCAACGCCGCGUGAGUGAUGAAGGUCUUCGGAUCGUAAAACUCUGUUAUUAGGGAAGAACAAAUGUGUAAGUAACUAUGCACGUCUUGACGGUACCUAAUCAGAAAGCCACGGCUAACUACGUG
rnacentral:rRNA from 1 species